UCUUCUGUGGCGCAAUUGGCUAGCGCGUUCGACUGUUAGUUAUCGCAAUCGAGAGGUUGGAGGUUCGAGCCCUCCCAGAAGAG
rnacentral:tRNA from 1 species